UUUCCCGCAUACGGCCAAAAGGUGUAUCUACAUAUUUAUUGAGAUUUAAAGGAUUAUAAAUUCGUUUAGUUAUUCUCGUAACCUAGAAGGAAUUAUGCUCUGAUGAAUUUCUAGAAGUUUCGAAACAUUCCAAUAUGUCGAGAAUGUGUGAUAAAUCAAUAGAAACCGUUAACACCAUAUUAUCGUAGCAACCAUGAAAACAUUCAUCACAUGUAGAUGUAUAUACAUUACUGUUUACUGACGACAAAUGUGGUAAUAUCUGUACCUUUAUUUUGUUAAAUUUGACCAAAAGCUAUCAUAUAUAAUACUACAUUUUAUAUACGAAAUAAAAUUCCCUUUUAGAUUUUCAAGCGUAAGUCGACGCCAUGCUUUUACAAUAUGUAAUGGCGUCAUUACUCUUUACACGCGAUCCGUAUUUUUCUAUCAAAUAUAUUUAUAUUGACUAUAAAAUCAUAUUUAAUCGUAUUAAUAUUACAUUAGCGGAGUAUAUGUAAUUUUUGUCUUAAUUAAUGUUUCUUGUCGAACUUCGUAUAAUCAUUAAUGAACAUAAACUCCAGUUGCUGAAAGAAUAUUCCUGGCAUUAACGAUUAUGUAUCUCGGCGUUUCUAGAUGUGACCAGUCAUGAGUCAGUUGUGUUGUCAACAAAGAAACAAGGAACACAAGUAGUUUAUUCUUCCGUUUCGGUCAAUAAACAAUCUUUGAUUUGUGGAAGUUAAAAUUUUCGAGAGUGGCCGCAAUGAAGGUUCGUUUACUCUUAUACCAACGAAACAAAUAAUUCCGAACAAAUUUGUCAGACGGCACAGAAGUAGCAUCGACUAUGUGAAACGAAUAUGAAAACUGAUUUGCGUCUUCUAUUGUUUUGUUGCACGUGCGCAAGAGUAAUCGAGCAGGAAGUGUACAUCGAUCGUAUUCUUGACCUGUAUUAUCUUACAAAUCCAAUUUAUUUCGGCAACUACAUGAAAUUAUUCAUGUAGUUGUUAUGUAAAAACAUAUAUAAUAAGAAGAUAACUUAUUAUUCAAUUGAUGAAUAAAAUAUGAACAUAUAUAUAUGUUCAUAUUUUAUUCGUCAAUAUAAUAUAUAUAUAUAUAUUCAUACAGUCAAAAUAUCAUGAAAGUAUUAUUUCUUUUCUAUACUUAUGGACGUUAUAUCGUACAUAUGAUUCAGUACGUCUCGGCCUAUAGGCGAUGUACUUAAACCGUAAACGAUAGACAACAGACACUGAAUAAGUGUUGAAGAAGAAAUAGAAAAGAAGAGGUGUAAAAAAUAUUGCUGGUCAAAGAACUUUUACUUUUUCUUUCAUUUCUGUGACAUAUGUAUUGUGAAGCGAAGGAUAUGUCCAUGCGUUCUCAAUUGCUUGCAUCGUUGCCACGUCCACAUUACAAUAUGAGCCCAAAUUGCAAAACUAAAAACUAGAUAUGUAUCUAAAAUAGUUGUUGUUAUCAAUUUUACUAUUUUAAAUGCAUUUAAUCUAUGUGAAUUAAAAUAUGCUAUUAGUAUAGUUGAGUAAGUUGGAAAAAAUGUAAAUGAUUCUAUUUUAUAAUUUUUAUUUUAAACCUGAAGAGUUGUUACAGGUAGAGAUAUCACUGUUUACGUUUAAACGUAGCGAGGAAUCAUAUAACAGGCUCAAGUUUAUGCAGCUAUACAUAUAUACCAAUGAAUAACCUUGGAGCUUCAAUCAACUUGCUUACUUCUACAAAGCAAGAAAUUCAAUGAUUUUCAAAAACGAAUACCAUCGAUUAAAAAUCCUCAAGCUUUGACAACGUGAUACCAUAAUUUAGAUAAUAUUCAAAGCUCGCACCAUGAAUACAUAUGGAUCGUGUAUUUUAGGUAAUAACGAUGUAUAUGACGCGUAACCGUAUAUAGAUAGGAAAACAUUCACUGCUCUGCGCCAUGAGCGAUCAUUUCAAAUCUACGGAAAUUCGUGGGUGGAUGGUUAUAUACGCUAAACAGAUUGCCGGUUUAUUUAAACGACGGUGUGUAACGAAAUACGAUGAUGUGCUUGGGAUGAUUCCAAUUUAGCAAUCUAGUUUUUUCCCUCGUGUAUCCAAGUGGCGCGCUUUUUUUUUUUCAAGAAAUAAACUGGGUCACACGAUGGCAGCGAAGUGUGCGUAUACACGUGUCCAUCGACGAAGAGAAUCGGACGAGUGAACAAGCACGAAAGCAACGUGCUAGAAUAUAAGUUGCAAAGGUGGCGGAUGUAGACGCAUACAAGCAGUGGUAGAGAGGUAUAACGACCUUUGCGGCUCACAGUGAACGUGCGGAAAUCAUUUGUAUAAAAUUUCUAAUCGCAAAGUUCGCGCUAUUGUUAGUCGGUACGCGACGCACGAUCAGGAAAUAAAAUGGCAACAGGAGGAGCGUGAGAACUCACGUAGAGAGAAACGAUUUGUAGGUGGAAAGAACUCCCACAACGUUUCAGCAAUUACAUAUCUCGGAUAAGUUGCAUAGUUGCAUGCAUGUUUGCUUAAUAACAAAGAAUGACGAGUGUUUUAUAGGUCUAUUUGUUAUUUUAUUAUUUUUUUAAUUAUUUUAGAAAUAUUUUUAAAAUCUCAGAUGUCUCCUACACCGAUUAUUAUUAUCAGCACAAUCAAACCGGAAACUCGACUAGCAAUUAAUUUCACCGAACUGCUGAUACGACACUAGCAAGAACGAGCAUGUCGAGACUAGAGGACCAGAAAAGCAAAGUGAAAGAAGAGUACGUUUAGUAAGGGAGUAAUUAGCGACUCUCUAGAUAGAAACGAUACGCAUCCCGAUAGCUCGUGAGCCAUAGUACGGACAAAACGGGCGAAUGAGAAGAACUUAACGACACAGCCGUUCGUUCAGACUAUAUGUAUCUUGGGAUACAUUGUACUUGGUAUUCGUACGUCCCUGAUCGUUCCGAUCUAUAUCUACCGAUCCUAAAAAUAUUUAUAAACGGUAAAAUAUAAUACGAGCAAUAAGUCAAAUAAAUAAUUCACCUUUUAAAAAUAUCAAAAUCGCGGUAGACUGGUAAAGGCCAAGGGAAGGAAAGCAACGAAGGACAGAAGCGACUAAAGGAAGCUUCGAAGCGAGCCUGCGCCGUCUAACCGACACGUAUAAAUAAAGAGUU